UGAUGCAAGAAAUAAAUGCAGCAUAUAAUAUUAUAUCUACCCUAAGAGGGACUUACAUGAAGAGGAAGAGAGAGUGAUGCAGCCAAGGAUGACUUGCCGGCGUUAUUAUUUGCUCAUGUUCAUGCUCACCGGUUUCCUUGCCGGCAAGUUGUGUUUGGCUAUGUUUUGCUCUCUUCUUCUCAUGUAAGUGCCACUUAGGACCAAUUGUUGGAUCACCAGGAAGCCCUUCACUUGCAUGAUGAGGUCCAAAUUACCCAUGAUAUAUUUUUUUGUAAAUUGUACUGUAUCUUUUUUCUCCGGUGCGAAACACUUCGUUAAUAGACAUAUAGCAAGUGAGUGUACGUGUGAAUAAUGCAGCCUAAUUGGCGUGGAGACCAAGAUAAUAUGCCAGCAUACAGCCAGGCCAAGUAUCACAGAAUCAAAAUUUUGAACAGUGUUAGCGAGCUGAUCAAUGUGUAUCACGAUAUAAAAGUGAAAAUAUAUAUGGUUUUCACCUGUUGGAAAGACACAUUUAUUUGAGCACUGUCCAUGUCCAUGUGCAAAAACAAAAUGCUUGCAUGCACAUGUUGAACUUUUUGUACAUGGUGGCCGUCCAAAGUGGACCAAGCAAUUAUUAUCUCUGCUCAUGAACAUUUUGAGUCUCCCAAAAUGAUUCCUGAAGUGUAGCAUGUGCAGCAGUCAUGUGUCAUAGGUACGUAAGCAAAGAAAAAUUAAUUAUCUCUUAGCGUGUCUAUAUAUAUGUUUUACGCUACACAUAAAAUAAAAUGCUUUUAAAAUGAUAUGAUGUUCAGUUCAACCUUGAACAGAGAAAAGAGAAAUGGGACAAAAGCUGCAUGCAUGAAAUCAUGAACUAUAAAAUGACAUCCUCAAGGGAGAAAGAGAAAGAUAAGAUUGAAGUGACAAAAAGUCUAAAAGUAUAAGAUUUUGUUUAAAAGUUGAUUAAAAUUAGUAUUAAUUAAUUCUUUUUUAAUUGUAAAAUAAAAUUAAAAUGUAUGUCUACGUUAAAUAAUGAUUUUCUCAUUAGAACGUGUGCAUGGUGAAAAUAAUUGAUUCUUAAGGGGGCAUUAGAACUGCUGCAAAGAUAACCGGUCAAUUCAUUGACUCGAUUGAGUACGAUAUUAAUAUGGGUGAG